GGAUGCGAUCAUACCAGCACUAAAGCACCGGAUCCCAUCAGAACUCCGAAGUCAAGCGUGCUUGGGCGAGAGUAGUACUAGGAUGGGUGACCUCCUGGGAAGUCCUCGUGUUGCAUUCC
rfam:Brachypodium distachyon strain Bd21 chromosome 4, whole genome shotgun sequence.